UGGGGAAUUUUACACAAUGGGCGAAAGCCUGAUGUAGCAACGCCGCGUGGAGGAUGACGGAUCUAGGUCUGUAAACUCCUUUUAUAAGGGAAGAAAUUUGACGGUACCUUAUGAAUAAGCACCGGCUAACUCCGUGCCAGCAGCCGCGGUAAUACGGGGGGUGCAAGCGUUACUCGGAAUCACUGGGCGUAAAGGGAGCGUAGGCGUUCUAUUAAGUCUUGAGUGAAAGCCCGCAGCCCAACUGCGGAACUGCUCAGGAAACUGAUAGAAUUGAGUAUGGAAGAGGUAGGUGGAAUUUCCAGUGUAGGGGUAAAAUCCGUAGAUAUUGGAAGGAAUACCAGAAGCGAAGGCGACCUACUGGGACAUUACUGACGCUGAGGCUCGAAAGCGUGGGGAGCAAACAG
rnacentral:rRNA from 1 species